rnacentral:lncRNA from 1 species
AGCAACAAAAGACACACACACACACACACACACACACACACCUGACUAAAAAGAAAUCCUCUCACUUUAUAUAUUUGUCCUGUCAGUUACCCAGCAUUUUUUGCAUUUACAAGAUCUCUGGCUGGGUUUGUGUACAUUUACUCUCAAGAGAUUUUGCAAUUAUGUGAAACAUAUGUGGUGAUUUGUUCUUUGCUAGUUAGGUCCAGAAUUAUGUGAAAUAUUACAUGUUUUGUAUGUGCUCUCAUUAGGGCCUUUCGCACCGCGGGAACCUUUUCAUAGUACCAGAACUAAUUGUGGAACUACCCACUUUUCGGCGUGUUCGCACCNNNNNNNNNNNNNNNNNNNNNNNNNGCUUCGAUCACAGCGUCCUCCAUCCUCCUGUUGUUAACGUUGUUCUUUGUUUCUGUUGUUGAACGCCGCGCACAAAUGACGUCGCUGUCGACCGGCUUACGUCACUUCUUAGUACACACUCUCGGUGCGAAUGCAACCCUUUAAAUGGUACUGGAAAAUAGUUUGCGCAAAAUCGUCCCAGUACUUUAGUACUGUACAUGUAGUUCUGGAACUAAAGCGGUGCGAAAGGGCCUAUAGUUCAGUUGUCUAUUCUCAGAAGUGUAGUGCCACUUGAUGGCUAUGUUCAGAAUAACUUCUUUUUCAUUUUAUCUCGUGUAUAUUAACAGCGAAUGUCAAUAAAGCUUAUCUUGCUUAAAUAGUGGUUGUUUGAUGUUGGUGUCAGGUGUCGUGGCUGAUUGUGAUCUGGAUUCUGAGACCCAGCAGCCUUGUUGAGGUGCCAAUACGCCUCAUUCAGCCCGCCGCCAUUUUGAUUCGAAAACGAGGCUGUGAGGGUAAACAGGAAAUCACAACAACAGGACAUGGCUGUGUGGACUACAAACCUGUCAUGCCUUUCUCCUCUUACUCUCAAUGUUGUGGAAGCAUGGGCGGACGAAGGAUCAAAAAUUCCCAGGUCUAUCCUCCUGAAGGGUUACAGCUACUUGAUCGAAGGUUAUAUCCACGAUGUUGAAAGUGGAGCUGUCUUCAGAAAACCCGUAUAUCCGAGACACCCACUGCGCUUGUAAAGCAGGAUUGGGGCACUGUAACCAUUUACUGGGACUACUUUACACACUGGCUCACUACCUAAAAGUAACCUAAAACACUACCUAAAAGUAACCUAAAGGUUUACAACCACCAAAUAGUAGUACCCAUAGAGUAAACCGCAGAAGUGAGGGAAUUCUCCCAAAUGUUUACUACCCAGUCCCUGUCCCAUUGCCCUGUGGUGAAUUUGAAGACAAUCUGAGGGAAAACCUAAAAACCUCAGGCAGCAGAAGCCACGUUUAAAUUAUUAACCGCCAGUAACCAACAAAAAAAACUUGUCGUCACAGAGUUCGGCGACUUACCUUUAGGGUCUGUUUUAUCCAACCAG